rnacentral:rRNA from 1 species
UGGGGAAUAUUGCGCAAUGGGGGCAACCCUGACGCAGCAACGCCGCGUGCGGGACGACGGCCUUCGGGUUGUAAACCGCUUUCAGCAGGGAAGAUAGUGACGGUACCUGCACAAGAAGCCCCGGCUAACUACGUGCCAGCAGCCGCGGUAAUUCGUAGGGGGCGAGCGUUAUCCGGAUUCAUUGGGCGUAAAGCGCGCGCAGGCGGCUCUUCAAGCGGAACGUCUAACCCCGGGGCUCAACCUCGGGCCGGGUUCCGAACUGGAGGGCUAGAGUGCGGUAGAGGCAGGCGGAAUUCCCGGUGUAGCGGUGGAAUGCGCAGAUAUCGGGAGGAACACCGAUGGCGAGGGCAGCCUGCUGGGCCGGCAAUGACGCUGAGGUGCGAAAGCUAGGGGAGCGAACAGG